rnacentral:rRNA from 1 species
GACGAACGCUGGCGGCGUGCCUAACACAUGCAAGUCGAACGGAAAGGCCCUGCUUUUGUGGGGUGCUCGAGUGGCGAACGGGUGAGUAACACGUGAGUAACCUGCCCUUGACUUUGGGAUAACUUCAGGAAACUGGGGCUAAUACCGGAUAGGAGCUCCUGCUGCAUGGUGGGGGUUGGAAAGUUUCGGCGGUUGAGGAUGGACUCGCGGCCUAUCAGCUUGAUGGUGGGGUAGUGGCUUACCAAGGCUUUGACGGGUAGCCGGCCUGAGAGGGGGACCGGCCACAUUGGGACUGGGAUACGACCCAGACUACUACGGGAGGCAGCAGUGGGGAAUAUUGCACUAGGGGCGGAGGCCUGAUGCAGCAACGCCGCGUGCGGGAUGACGGCCUUCGGGUUGUAAACCGCUUUCGCCUGUGACGAGGCGUGAGUGACGGUAAUGGGUAAAGAAGCACCGGCUAACUACGUG